AAGUCGUAACAAGGUUUCCGUAGGUGAACCUGCGGAAGGAUCAUUAACACGUAUCCAAACGUUAACCCCUGUGAGUGCUCGUACACUUUGUCAAAGCGAGGCAAUCCCUGGUAAAUCAUCGCCGAACAGUUUUGAUUCUGGGACUUCCUCAAAGAGUAAGUGGCCUGGCAUUCCCAAGCAGUUAAUGUCUGAAAGUGUCAUUGGCUGUGUAAGGAUGACGCAGUAACGAUCGUUGGAGGCCGACACGGCCGACGACCGGGUCACCGGGCGCAAGCCCCUUUAUCACCACUUGAUGCAUGACAGACGCGCCAGCGCUUAAUUGUGCGGCGACCAAAAACCGAACAACUGUUAACAAUGGAUAUCUUGGUUCUC
rnacentral:misc_RNA from 1 species